AUCACUCAACUUCAAAGGAGCAAUUCUCAAGAUUAAAUCAUUAGAUUGCAAUGAAAUUUGUUGGAACAAGAGCGCCUUUAAGUUAACCUUGCAACAAAAUAAGAACCAUUCAAUUUAGAUCUAGUUAAAAUUUUUGACAAAUUUUGGAGUAGAAGGGGGUUGUUGCCUUUAAUCCUUGGAUGUUGUUAAGAUACCUUCACUUUUACCUUUCUUAUUUUAUUUUUACUUUUAUCUUUAUAGUGACUUUUAAUCUCCUUGUUUCAACUUUUGACUAAUAAAUUUUAAGUUUUAAGUUUUAACCUUUAAUAUUCUCACUUAAACUUUUAAUUUAAACUUUUAAUU
rnacentral:lncRNA from 1 species